GCCAUCACUAAAUCAAAACAGCGUAACUACGAGCUUGAAGAGAAAGCACACAAAGUAUUGGCAUGGCAACUGAGCAGAGGAAAGUAGUAGGACAAUUAAUGCUAUAGAAACUCUUACUAAAGAGAUAUUUUUUGACUCUACUGAAAUUAAUGAUACUUUUAAGAAAUAUUAAAGACCUCUACACUUCCCAAUCAAGAAAUGAUCUAUCAGAGAUCAACUCUUUUCUCUCCUCUCUCAACCUCCCAUGCCUAUCAGAGGAAGACAGAGAGCCCCUCAGUGAACAGUUCUUAGUCCAUGAAUUGUGGAGGCCAUUAAAUCCUUACCUUCUAAUAAAUCUCCUUGGGAGGAUGGUUUCCCUCCAGAGUUCUAUAAAGAAUUUAAGGAGCUGUUGGUACCCUACCUUAAGGAGCGACUUAAAAAAGCCGGGGAAGACAAUCGCUUUCCAGAUCCUUUUCUCAAGCAGUGAUUACAGUAAUUCACAGGAAAGGGAAAAACACGCUAAAGUGCACCUCCUACAGAUCAAUCUCUCCCCUUAACACAGAUUGUAAACUGGUCACCAAGAUCCUAUCUAAGAGACUGGAGUCAUGUCUUCCCAUGUUGGUCAACCCAGAUCAGACUGGCUUCAUAAUUAAUAGAUUGUCCUCCAAUAAUCUCAGAAUGUUCUUUGACAUAAUUCACCUUGCUAACAAAAACAAAAUACCUUGUCACAGUCUCCUUCAACACCAAAAAGGCCUUUAAUAGGGUUGAAUGGCCAUAUCCCUUUUGCGUCUUGGAAAAGUUUGGUUUAGGCACUGUUUGUAAUUUUGAUAAAGUCACUCUACAAAUCUCCUAAAGCUAGGAUUGCUUUGAGGUGGGCCCCCAUAAACAUAAGUUAUCACUUUUUGUGGACAACCUUAUAUUAUUUCUAACGAACCCAGAACAUUCCCUCUCUCUACAGAUCUUAUUACAGUACUAUAGUUCUUUCUCUGGAUAUAAGGUCAACUUUGAUAAAAGUGAAAUUUUACCGUUGUCUGUCUUUGACUAUCAAGCAUAAGUUUCCUUUUAGAUGAUCGCCAAUUGGCUUCACAUAUUUGGGCAUAAUGGUGGAUGGUAACCUGAACAACCUCUAUAUACUCAAUCUGGCCAGUUUGUUGCAAAAGGUGGAGGGUGACCUGUGUAUGAACUUGCCUCUCAUCCUACUCGGUAGAAUAAUGUAAUUAAAAUGAAUGUCCUGCCCAUAUUUCUAUAUUUGUUUCAAUCUCUCCCUAUCCCUGUUCCCGCAGCAUUAUUUUCCUCUCUCGACAAACUGACCAGACUUUUUAUCUGGCACAACAAAACCCAUAGGUUUAGCCUGGAUAAACUGACCCUUGAUUAUGGUCAAGGGGGCUUAAACCUCCCCAAUUUCAGAAUGUACUACUGGGCUGCGCAGUCUAGAUUUCUAGCUCAGAGGUUUGACAAUGGUCCUUCUCCCUCAUGGUUAAACAUUGAAAAGUUUGAGGUAAAUGAUGACACUGGGGCAGAAUUGUUUUACAAAUGUACAGGAAAUAUAUAAAAACCAUCAGACAACCCUUUAAUUAUACAUGGUGGUGCAAACGUCAUGAGCUGUUCAGAUGAGUGAUUUCUUUCCCCUAAAACCCCUCUAUGGAACAAUAGAUUGAUUCCUAUGUUUUUCCAGAAUAGUAACUUUAGACCAUGGUCUGAUAAGGGUAUCACUCUUCUGGAACAUUGUUAUGAGGAGGGAAUUCUUAUAUCUUUUGAACAGCUGAAACAGAAAUACCACUUGUCUAACAGGAACUUCUUUAGUUACUUACAACUACGAUAUUUUAUUAGGGUGACUCCCAAGGGACAAUGGAACCUACCUUAGAUGUCACCUAUUGAACUAUUCUGCCAUUCAGACCAACCACUGUUCAAGACCGAUUUCCCAUGUUUAAGAUGUUCUUAUGUCAGGCCUAUCACUGCCUGAGCUUGAUAAACCCCGACUUAGAUGGAAAAAGAUCUGGGUUUUAAAUCUUGAUGACCUAUGCAAGGAUGGUGUUACAUCCACACUGAACUCCAGAUACAGACUGAUCCAGUUUAAUUUCCUCCAUCAGCUCUAUCACCCCAUCUAGAUUGCAGAAGUUCAACUCUCUCCUCCCUCUGUUUUAGAUGUGGCUCAGAUGAAGGAACAUUCCUCCAUUUCACUUGCAGUGUUCAAAAUUACGGGGUUUCUGGCAGGGGGUAUGCGAUACCAUAUCCUCAAUUCAUGGGGUUGCAUUCCUUUUAGAUCCAGAGGUUAUACUAUAAAGUUAACAGAAAUAUUGCUAGCAAUUGUCAAGAAAUGUAUGACCUUGAAAUGGAAAUCGGAUUCCCCCCUGCCAGUUUCAAUGUGGCUAUCAGAAGUUAACAGUUGUAUUCCACUGGAGAAAACCAGUUACUGCUUGAGGAAUAAGUUAGAGACAUUUUACAGAAUUUGGCAAACUUUUAUUGAUUAUAUGGAGAAUCUCCCCUCACAUCACGUUGAUUUAAUCUCUAAAUAAUCCUCACGUAAUGGUUCACACUUAAUGUAUAAUAUGUAGCCUUAUGGCAGGUGACCAUAUGAUCCAAUGUUUCAUUGUGACUUUAAUUUAUUGUAUUUUUGUGUGUAUAUAUAUAUAUUUA
ensembl:lncRNA